ensembl:lncRNA
GUUUGUUUUUUGUCCUUUGUUUUUGAAUGUAGCUUGUCCUUCUGUAUUAUUGAUUACUCCUGUGUCUUGUUAACACCCUAUUUAUUCAGUUCGUUUUUCCAGUUUCAUUGUGAAGUGUUGUUUCUAUGUUAUGACUCUACUAAGCCAGUUGCUCUGCAAAACUUUUGGAUAGCCCUUACAUGUACCGAGUUCUUUCACCUGUUUUUUCCUACUAACGAUUAUUAGUCUUGUCCCUGCCUGUACUUUUGCCUGCUUUUCUGUUAUCGACCUUGCCUGUUACUGACCACGGGUUUUGCCUGUUCCUGGUCCUGUGAUUAAACCUAUGGUCUCUGUGCUUGGAACCACCACCUGCCUGUGUUGUACUCUUACAGCCAGCUCCCUGGCAUCAACAUGGGACAACCAACCCUGGUCUCUCCAAGCAUGAACAUGGGACAACCAGCCCUGGUCUCUCCUAGCAUCAACAUGGGACAACCAACCCUGGUCUCUCCUAGCAUGAACAUGGAACAACCAGCCCUGGUCUCUCCUAGCAUGAACCUGGGACAACCAACCCUGGUCUCCCUUGGCAUCAACAUGGGACAACCAACCCUGGUCUCUCCUAGCAUGAACAUGGGACAAACAACCCUGGCCUCCUUUAGUUCACAAUGAACAUCAGCAUGAGACUACGUGUGUGCGCGUGUGAUGUGGAAUGUGAUUCACAGAGACAUCUGCUCCACACCUACAUUUGCCAGACACAACCACCUUUACCAUAACAUGGUCAACCGGUGGGAUGACACGGUAUCCUGGGCAUGUAUCGACAGCUCAGGAAUGAGCCUGCAAUUCUGGACUAUGGAACGGUGCAGAGGGUAGCCAGUGAAUUCAUCAGGCACAUUUAAACCUAACAAGGGGCUGUGGUUAAUGAUUCAGUAUCAUGUCAUGAUUGGCUGUGUUCUUACCCUUCUUUUUAACACCACUGUUCUAUGUGAGAACGCAAGCUGCCAAACGAGCCUAAUCUGUCAUACAACUGAGAUGAUUUCCAGACAGUUAAGAACUUAAUUUGUCCUCAAAGUGCAGCUAAAUGCCUGUCACAUAUUGUCUCCAUAAGGACUUCACACUCUUAGGGGUGUGGUCUGGCCCAAGGGCAUUGGUGGUUUUGAAUUGAAGGUGCUGGCUUAGGCAAUUACUCACAGCAAAGAGUGUGAUCCCAAGUUUAUGUGCCAGUGAAAGGGGUGUGGAGGACAGGGAGAGAGUUUCUUAGGAUUGUUCUGAGCUGAAGGAAAACAUGUCAGAGAAAAGGGCAUAAAAACUGGAAAUGUACACAGACAUCACCGCACUGAGAUAUGGUGACACAUGAUUGUUGCUUAAUGGAUUACUCCCCUGUACAAUAAAUCAAAAUGUAAACACAGCUGUUGUCUUUCAGUCACUGGGUUAGGCUGUGCCAGGUCCUUAAAACCAAUGAUCAGUGUAAUCAAGGAUUGACAUUAAUGUAGUUUUAAAAUGCAACCGCCUUUUGCGCUUGUUUGGUCAAUUCUCAGUGUAACAUUGUGUUCCUGCCGCCCUGAACAUCCAUUAUAGAAGCCUAGUUCUGAGAUUCUCUAUAAUAUCAUGUGUGGUGACUUGCUAAGGGCUGUGAAACAUUAUUACAUGAAAAGUUUUUC